AACGAACGCUGGCGGCAUGCCUAACACAUGCAAGUCGAACGAGAUCUUCGGGCCUAGUGGCGCACGGGUGCGUAACGCGUGGGAACCUGCCCUUAGGUUCGGAAUAACUCCCCGAAAGGGGUGCUAAUACCGGUUGAUGUCUUCGGACCAAAGAUUUAUCGCCUUUGGAUGGGCCCGCGUUGGAUUAGCGAGUUGGUAGGGUAAAAGCCUGCCAAGGCGAGGAUCCAUGGCUGGUGUGUGAGGAUGCUCAGCCAGACUGGGACUGAGACACGGACCAGACUCCUACGCGGGGGAGCAGUGGGGAAUAUUGGACAAGGGGCGAAGGUCUGAUCCAGCAAUGCCGGGUAAGUGAGGAAGGGGUUAGGGUUGUAAAGCUCUUUUACCCGAGAUGAUAAUGACAGUACCGGGAGAAUAAGCUCCGGCUAACUACGUG
rnacentral:rRNA from 1 species